AGUCAUUAUUGUAUCUAAUAAUAAUAGUAAUAUUCCAAAUGGGUAUUAAUAUAUGUGAAAAUUGUAUAUUUUAGUGUACGUUUGAAUAAUAGAAUAAAGAUAAUAGAACCUAAUUCCCAUUAGUUUACACUUACCAAUUUUGUUAUUGUUAUGUAUAUUGUGUAGUGUACGGAGGGAAAGGUUUAUUUAGUAAUCGCUUAUGGUACAAAGCUUAACAUUCAAAAACUGAAACCAUUCUCUUUGUAAUACAAUAUCCAGAAUAAUAAGAAAGGUAAUAAAAGAACCUAUUUAAAAUAUU